rnacentral:ncRNA from 1 species
GCAGGAACUGAAAUCAUUAGACCGUUUCUGAAACCAGUAGUGAAGUAUGUUAUUUAAUUCGAUAAUCCGCGAAUAACCUUACCACAAUUUGAAUGACCUAAAAUAUUUUUUAAAUUUUUAGACCACAUGCGUUGCAUGGCUGUCUUCAGUUAAUGUCGUGAGAUUUGGUUAGGUCCAUUAAAUUAACGUAAACCCUUGUUUUAUUUAUUAAGAUAAAGCAGCUCUCCGCUUACAAUUGGAUGUGAUAAUAGGGACUAAGACAAGUCAUCAUGGCCUUAAUAUUGUGGGCUAUAGACGUGCCACAUAUGCCUUUACAAAGGGAUGCAAUAAUGCGAAUUGGAGCUAAUCCCUAAAACAGGAUAAAGUAUGGAUUGUUGUCUGAAAUUCGACUGCAUGAAAAAGGAAUUACUAGUAAUCGUGAGUAAUCACAUCACGGUGAAUUUUAUCUCAGAUAGGUACUAACCACUCGUCAGGCGCUGAAAGGAGUAUGUGCAAUAAGUUUGGUGGCUGCGGAUUGCUAGUCUAAAUGUACAGGUUUAGAUCUUUUGGCAGAAAUAUCUUCGUAUGCGUGACUCUGAUUGGUGUUAAGUCGAAAUACGGUUCGGGUUGGGGAACUAGCCCGGGAAUAAUUAAUAUU